UGUAGUCUUCUUGCACAACAAUCUAGUGCACAAUAUGACAUGCCAAUAUUUACUCAAAAAUAUGCUUGCCCUAUUAAAUUGAUCUCCAACUUAACAACACACGUCAAUGGGUUAGAGAAUACUCUGGGUAUAUGGCAGCUUUUGAUUCAUCAUCUGUACAUCUAUAUUCAGUUUUUCCUUCUGAAGUUGGUUUGAUUAUUUUGCAUCUUGACAUUAGCUUCGUUGCCAGAACACUAGUAAGAUCUCAAGAGGAGCUAAUGCAACAAAGCAUGCCAAUAAACAACAAUGCAGUACAACAAAUUGCCUGGGUGCUGACUCGAUAGAUGUUGGCACUGUAGUAUUUUUGAAGAGCUUGGGAAAUCCAAACAGGAAUGUUGCUCUUGGUACGCUCCAAAGCAUUGAACCAGAAUAUAAAGUUGAGGGUGUUCAUCUUGGUAACUGAAAGCACAAGUGCUCCCUGUGUGAUUUUGGUAAUUAAUGUCAACAUAUCUCUUGUUGGACUAAUGCUUCUACCUAGUAUGUUUCAGAUAAGUUCAACAAUGGAGUGACAUGGA